rnacentral:rRNA from 1 species
AUUGAACGCUGGCGGCAUGCCUUACACAUGCAAGUCGAACGGUAACGGGCCUUCGGGUGCCGACGAGUGGCGAACGGGUGAGUAAUACAUCGGAACGUGCCCGAUCGUGGGGGAUAACGAGGCGAAAGCUUUGCUAAUACCGCAUACGAUCUACGGAUGAAAGCAGGGGACCGCAAGGCCUUGCGCGGACGGAGCGGCCGAUGGCGGAUUAGGUAGUUGGUGGGAUAAAAGCUUACCAAGCCGACGAUCUGUAGCUGGUCUGAGAGGAUGAUCAGCCACACUGGGGCUGAGACACGGCCCAGACUCCUACGGGAGGCAGCAGUGGGGAAUUUUGGGCAAUGGGCGGAAGCCUGAUCCAGCCAUGCCGCGUGCAAGGUGAAGGCCUUCGGGUUGUAAACUGCUUUUGUACGGAACGAAAAGCCUUCUUUUAAUACAGGAGGGUCAUGACGGUACCGGAAGAAUAAGCACCGGCUAACUACGUG